rfam:Ixodes scapularis strain Wikel colony gcontig_1108378905268, whole genome shotgun sequence.
UCCUGGUUAGUUCAGUUGGUAGAGCGCUCCACUCGAAAGGAGAAGGUUCUGGUUCGAUACCAAGACCAGGCG